UGGCGAUGAGGAGACGAUUGCUCGUUGAUCGGCGGUGAUAGUUCUGUACGCUAUUCUGAGCCGGCG
ensembl:snoRNA SNORD54 small nucleolar RNA U54